rnacentral:rRNA from 1 species
ACGCUCCACCCGUUGUGGUGCUCCCCCGCCAAUUCCUUUAAGUUUCAGCCUUGCGGCCGUACUUCCCAGGUGGCUCGCUUCACGGCUUCCCUACGGCACCGACAACGGUCGCACCGUGGCCGACACCUAGCGAGUAUCGUUUACGGCUAGGACUACCCGGGUAUCUAAUCCGGUUCGUGCCCCUAGCUUUCGCCCCUUGCCGUCAGGUCCGUUCUGGUGAGACGCCUUCGCCACUGGUGGUCCUCCAAGGAUUACAAGAUUUCACCCCUACCCCUGAAGUACCUCUCACCUCUCCCGGCCUCGAGCCGAACAGUAUCUCCUGAAAGCCCAACAGUUGAGCUGCUGGAUUUCUCAAGAGACUUAUCCGGCCGGCUACAGACCCUUUAGACCCAAUAAUAACGGUUACCACUCGAGCCGCCGGUGUUACCGCGGCGGCUGGCACCGGUCUUGCCCGGCCCUUGCUAUGCAAUGCUUUUUAGGCAUCACGACAGCCAGAUUUGUAACCUGGCACUCGAGGUCCCCUUAUCGCCGUUGCCGGCAUUGUAAAGUUUUCGCGCCUGCUGCACCCCGUAGGGCCUGGAUUCGUGUCUCAGAAUCCAUCUCCGGGCUCUUGCUCUCACAACCCGUACCCGUCGUAGGCUAGUAGGUACGCUACACCCACUACUACCUGAUAGGCCGCAGACCCAUCCUCUGGCGCCGGAGCUUUCGAUCUCGGGGCAUUCCAGCGACCGAGAUCUAUCGGGGAUUAUACCCAGUUUCCCGGGUUUAUACCCGUCCGGAGGGUAGGUUGUCCACGUGUUACUGAGCAGUACGCCAUGUAUUGCUACAUUC